AGUCAGUGUUUGUUUGUAAUGUGGGAGACUUUACAUUGGUUUGCAAGGUUCAAAGUUACUAAUUGUAUUAUCUUUUAUAGGUCUGUCGUAAAUCAUAUGUGGUUUUCCUGUGCAACCAGUAAGGGGGACAUGAAGAAGGAUUCUGUGGCAUUUCAAGACCUGUCAUCGCUGGUCCUUGACAAAAGGCUUCUGAGAGACAUGGAAAAGAUGGCCCUGUUCAAACAUACUGGGCCGCUGGAAGUCUUUCACAGCGCACUUUUGAAAUACCUCCCCAAUGAAGGUUCCUGCACUACAAUGGAGAAGCACGGUUCAACCAAAUGUUCUGCAAGAGAUCCAAGCAGUGGGUCUUGAAGAAAAUCUUCAUACCACACAGUUUGUAGACCAACUCAUCCAGAAGGCCAUUGACCAGACUCAAUCCAAACAUUGUGUUCAAAGUGCCAACCUCCUCACUUGCCCUGCCACAGCCUGCGCUGCCACCCAACAUUAGCCUGACUACGUCAGACUUCGUACUUCCGCUAAAUUUCAUUACGCUACUGUACUCAGUCUGAGAUGCCUCCCAUUCAAACUGUUUUCCUCCGGCAUUGAGGCGACCGUCAAAUCAACGAACAGAGGGCGGGCUGAGAGCUGUGACGUAGACGCUAAGCGGCAGCGCCGAAUGUACGGUUGGAUAGUUUUUACCUAGCUCUGGUCCGAUUUACUUUACAUAAUCUGCAAAAUCGUUCACAGCCAUGUUAACUCCGGUAUUUCGCUCGAUGGCUUUGUUUUCACAUCAUACGUGUAUUUUACAGCAGAAAUUCGAUGCGGCUGAGACGGCGCAUAACGCACAUCAUAACCAAACGUUAUGUGAUUGGCUUACGUCUAGACCAAUGAUUUUAAACUUCAGACAAGCCCCUCCCACUAGAAGGAAAACGAUUGUCAAUUAUGCUCAGCCAGACUCUGUCUAUGAAGCGAAGCAAAAUAGCAGAGGAUGAUAUUACCAGGCUAACCAACAUUGCACCAGUGCCUAAACCAUCAAAGGAGGCUGCCACGACUUUUUUCAAAAGUCACUUCUGAGACUGACACUUUCUAAUAAUAAUAAUAAUCACCUCUUCCCUUAGUCCUAUUGCUGUGUCUAAUCAGA